UACGGAGGGGGAUAGCGUUGUUCGGAAUUACUGGGCGUAAAGCGCGCGUAGGCGGCUUUGUAAGUUAGAGGUGAAAGCCCGGAGCUCAACUCCGGAAUUGCCUUUAAGACUGCAUAGCUAGAAUCAUGGAGAGGUGAGUGGAAUUCCGAGUGUAGAGGUGAAAUUCGUAGAUAUCGGGAAGAACACCCGUGGCGAAGGCGGCUCUCUGGAACGCAACUGACGCUGAGACGCGAAAGCGUGGGGAGCAAACAGG
rnacentral:rRNA from 1 species